rnacentral:rRNA from 1 species
GACGAACGCUGGCGGCAUGCCUAACACAUGCAAGUCGAACGAGACCUUCGGGUCUAGUGGCGCACGGGUGCGUAACGCGUGGGAACCUGCCUUUAGGUUCGGAAUAACUCAGAGAAAUUUGAGCUAAUACCGGAUAAUGUCUUCGGACCAAAGAUUUAUCGCCUUUAGAUGGGCCCGCGUAAGAUUAGCUAGUUGGUGGGUAAAGGCCUACCAAGGCGACGAUCUUUAGCUGGUCUGAGAGGAUGAUCAGCCACACUGGGACUGAGACACGGCCCAGACUCCUACGGGAGGCAGCAGUGGGGAAUAUUGGACAAUGGGCGAAAGCCUGAUCCAGCAAUGCCGCGUGAGUGAUGAAGGCCUUAGGGUUGUAAAGCUCUUUUACCCGAGAUGAUAAUGACAGUAUCGGGAGAAUAAGCUCCGGCUAACUCCGUGCCAGCAGCCGCGGUAAU